rnacentral:rRNA from 1 species
GGAAAUCUCACCAGGCCCGGACACUGGAAGGAUUGACAGAUUGAUAGCUCUUUCUUGAUUCAGUGGGUGGUGGUGCAUGGCCGUUCUUAGUUGGUUGAGUGAUUUGUCUGGUUAAUUCCGUUAACGAACGAGACCUUAACCUGCUAAAUAGUGACGCGGUUCAUCGAACCGUGGGCCACUUCUUAGAGGGACUAUCGGAUUCAAACCGAUGGAAGUGUGAGGCAAUAA